rnacentral:rRNA from 1 species
GAUCCUGGCUCAGGAUGAACGCUAGCGACAGGCUUAACACAUGCAAGUCGAGGGGCAGCAUGAGGUAGCAAUACCUCGAUGGCGACCGGCGCACGGGUGAGUAACGCGUAUCCAACCUGCCUUACACUCUUGGACAGCCUUCUGAAAGGGAGAUUAAUACAAGAUGUUAUCAUGAGUAAGCAUUUUCGCAUGAUUAAAGGUUUACCGGUGUAAGAUGGGGAUGCGUUCCAUUAG